GACGCGCAAGCGCCGAAGGCAGGAGCGGGGGACCCAAGGUAAGUGCCGGCCCCACCCGUGAAAGCGGGUCAACCGGCUUGGGGUGAAGCCGGGUGCGCCAUGCGCCCCCCGGCCGGGCCACUCACAGCCCGAACCCGACAGCUCACCUCGUAGGCGUCGGUGAGGAAACGA
rnacentral:sRNA from 1 species